rnacentral:rRNA from 1 species
GACGAACGCUGGCGGCGUGCUUAACACAUGCAAGUCGAACGGAAAGGCCCUGCUUUUGUGGGGUGCUCGAGUGGCGAACGGGUGAGUAACACGUGAGUAACCUGCCCUUGACUUUGGGGUAACUUCAGGAAACUGGGGCUAAUACCGGAUAGGAGCUCCUGCUGCAUGGUGGGGGUUGGAAAGUUUCGGCGGUUGGGGAUGGACUCGCGGCUUAUCAGCUUGUUGGUGGGGUAGUGGCUUACCAAGGCUUUGACGGGUAGCCGGCCUGAGAGGGUGACCGGCCACAUUGGGACUGAGAUACGGCCCAGACUCCUACGGGAGGCAGCAGUGGGGAAUAUUGCACAAUGGGCGGAAGCCUGAUGCAGCAACGCCGCGUGCGGGGUGACGGCCUUCGGGUUGUAAACCGCUUUCGCCUGUGACGAAGCGUGAGUGACGGUAAUGGGUAAAGAAGCACCGGCUAACUACGUG